GACUCCAAUGGGUGAACAGGGGAGCGGAUUGGACUUACUUUUUUUCAAACAGUCAGUCUUUUUCUCUCUCCUAUUAAUCCAUUCGAU